CCUACGGGUGGCAGCAGUGGGGAAUAUUGGACAAUGGGGGAAACCCUUAUCCAGCGACGCCGCGUGAGGGAAGAAGGUUUUCGGAUUGUAAACCUCUGUCAGUGGGGACGAUAAUGACGGUACCUGAGUAAGAAUCCCCGGCUAACUACGUGCCAGCAGCCGCGGUAAGACGUAGGGGGCAAGCGUAAUCCGGAUUUACUGGGUGUAAAGGGAGCGUAGACGGCAGUGCAAGUCUGGAGUGAAAGGCGGGGGCUCAACCCCCGGACUGCUCUGGAAACUGUACGGCUGGAGUGCAGGAGAGGUAGGUGGAAUUCGUAGUGUAGCGGUGAAAUGCGUAGAUAUUAGGAGGAACACCAGUGGCGAAGGCGGCUUACUGGACUGCAACUGACGUUGAGGCUCGAAAGCGUGGGGAGCAAACAGGAUUAGAUACCCUGGUAGUC
rnacentral:rRNA from 1 species